rnacentral:rRNA from 1 species
GAGUUUGAUCCUGGCUCAGGACGAACGCUGGCGGGCGUGCCUAAUACAUGCAAGUCGAACGCUUCUUUUUCCACCGGGAGCUUGCUCCACCGGAAAAAGAGGAGUGGCGAACGGGUGAGUAACACGUGGGUAACCUGCCCAUCAGAAGGGGAUAACACUUGGAAACAGGUGCUAAUACCGUAUAACAAUCAAAACCGCAUGGUUUUGAUUUGAAAGGCGCUUUCGGGUGUCGCUGAUGGAUGGACCCGCGGUGCAUUAGCUAGUUGGUGAGGUAACGGCUCACCAAGGCCACGAUGCAUAGCCGACCUGAGAGGGUGAUCGGCCACAUUGGGACUGAGACACGGCCCAAACUCCUACGGGAGGCAGCAGUAGGGAAUCUUCGGCAAUGGACGAAAGUCUGACCGAGCAACGCCGCGUGAGUGAAGAAGGUUUUCGGAUCGUAAAACUCUGUUGUUAGAGAAGAACAAGGAUGAGAGUAACUGUUCAUCCCUUGACGGUAUCUAACCAGAAAGCCACGGCUAACUACGUGCCAGCAGCCGCG